UACAGAGGGUGCGAGCGUUUAUCGGAAUUAUUGGGCGUAAAGAGCGCGUAGGCGGUCCGGUAAGUCGGCUGUGAAAGUCAAGGGCUCAACCCCUUGAAAGCCGGCCGAUACUGUCGGACUAGAGUCCGGAAGAGGCGAGUGGAAUUCCCGGUGUAGCGGUGAAAAUGCGCCAGAUAUCGGGGAGGAACACCAAUGGCGAAGGCAGCUCGCUGGGACGGUACUGAACGCUGAGGCGCGAAAGCGUGGGGAGCAAACAGGAUUAGGAAUACCCCGGGUACGGUUCCGAGAACCCAGGAUCUCUCGACGUCACCCAGAUAUUCACCCCGGACUGCCCAU
rnacentral:rRNA from 1 species